CCUACGGGGGGCAGCAGUGGGGAAUAUUGGACAAUGGGCGAAAGCCUGAUCCAGCCAUGCCGCGUGUGUGAAGAAGGCCUUCGGGUUGUAAAGCACUUUCAGUGGGGAAGAAAGCCUUGGGGCUAAUACCCUCGAGGAAGGACAUCACCCACAGAAGAAGCACCGGCUAACUCCGUGCCAGCAGCCGCGGUAAUACGGAGGGUGCGAGCGUUAAUCGGAAUUACUGGGCGUAAAGCGCGCGUAGGCGGUCUGAUAAGCCGGUUGUGAAAGCCCCGGGCUCAACCUGGGAACGGCAUCCGGGACUGUCAGGCUAGAGUGCAGGAGAGGAAGGUAGAAUUCCCGGUGUAGCGGUGAAAUGCGUAGAGAUCGGGAGGAAUACCAGUGGCGAAGGCGGCCUUCUGGACUGACACUGACGCUGAGGUGCGAAAGCGUGGGUAGCAAACAGGAUUAGAUACCCGAGUAGUC
rnacentral:rRNA from 1 species